AGGACGAACGCUGGCGGCGUGCUUAACACAUGCAAGUCGAGCGGUAAGGCCCUUUCGGGGGUACACGAGCGGCGGACGGGUGAGUAACACGUGAGCAAUCUGCCCUUCACUUCGGGAUAAGCCUCGGAAACGGGGUCUAAUACCGGAUAUGACCGCGCUACGCAUGUGGUGUGGUGGAAAGUUCUGGCGGUGGAGGAUGAGCUCGCGGCCUAUCAGCUUGUUGGUGGGGUAAUGGCCUACCAAGGCUUCGACGGGUAGCCGGCCUGAGAGGGUGACCGGCCACGACUGGGACUGAGACACGGCCCAGACUCCUACGGGAGCAGCAGUGGGGAAUAGUUGGACAAGUGGGCGAAAGCCUGGAUCCAGCCACCGGCCGCGUGAGGGAUGACGGCCGUUCGGGUUACGUAAACCUCUUCAGCGCCGACGAAGCGAGAGUGGACGUAGGCGCAGAAGAGCACCGGCAACUACGCGACCGAGCAGCCGA
rnacentral:rRNA from 1 species